GACGAACGCUGGCGGCGUGCCUAAUACAUGCAAGUCGAGCGCUUCUUUUCUACCGAGUGCUUGCACUCAUUUGAAAAGAGGAGUGGCGGACGGGUGAGUAACACGUGGGUAACCUGCCCAUCAGAAGGGGAUAACACUUGGAAACAGGUGCUAAUACCGUAUAACUGUCGACACCGCAUGGUGUUGAUUUGAAAGACGCUUUCGGGUGUCACUGAUGGAUGGACCCGCGGUGCAUUAGCUAGUUGGUGAGGUAACGGCUCACCAAGGCGAUGAUGCAUAGCCGACCUGAGAGGGUGAUCGGCCACACUGGGACUGAGACACGGCCCAGACUCCUACGGGAGGCAGCAGUAGGGAAUCUUCGGCAAUGGACGAAAGUCUGACCGAGCAACGCCGCGUGAGUGAAGAAGGUUUUCGGAUCGUAAAACUCUGUUGUUAGAGAAGAACAAGUAGGAGAGUAACUGCUCUUACCUUGACGGUAUCUAACCAGAAAGCCACGGCUAACUACGUGCCAGCAGCCGCAGUAA
rnacentral:rRNA from 1 species